rnacentral:rRNA from 1 species
AGCAGCCGCGGUAAUUCCAGCUCCAAUAGCGUAUAUUAAAGUUGUUGCAGUUAAAAAGCUCGUAGUUGAAUUUCGGGGUCAGUAGGUUGGUCAUGCCACUGGUAUGUACUGGUCUCACUGAUUCCUCCUUCCUGAUGAACCGUAAUGCCAUUAAUUUGGUGUUGCGGGGAGACUGGACUGUUACUUUGAAAAAAUUAGAGUGUUUAAAGCAAGCUAACGCUUGAAUACAUUAGCAUGGAAUAAUGAAAUAGGACGUUCGAUCCUAUUUUGUUGGUUUCUAGGAUUGACGUAAUGAUUAAUAGGGAUAGUUGGGGGGCAUUAGUAUUCAAUUGUCAGAGGUGAAAUUCUUGGAUUUAUUGAAGACUAACUACUGCGAAAGCAUUUGCCAAGGAUGUUUUCUAUUAAUCAAGAACGAAAGUUAGGGGAUCGAAGACGAUCAGAUACCGUCGUAGUCUUAACCAUAAACUAUGCCGACUAGGGAUCGGAUGAUGUUAAUUUUUAAUUAGA